ensembl:lincRNA
AUGAAGUUGUGUAUGUGUGUAUACACAUGUAUGUGCACAGUAUGUGCAAGUAUGUGCAAAUGUAUCUGUAUGCACAUGUGUGUGUAUGCCUAUGUGUGUGUGCAUGUGUGUAUGCACAUGUGUGUAUGCACAUGUGUGUGCAUGUGUAUAUGCACGUGUGUGUAUGCACAUGUGUGUGCAUGUGUGUAUGUACAUGUAUGUAUGCACAUGUGUGUGCAUGUGUAUAUGUACAUGUGUGUGCCAAUGUGUGUGUGCAUGUGUAUAUGCACAUGUGUGUAUGCACAUGUGUGUGCAUGUGUAUAUGUACAUGUGUAUGCCAAUGUGUGUGUGCAUGUGUAUAUGUACAUGUGUGUGCCCAUGUGUGUGUGCAUGUGUAUAUGCACAUGUGUGUAUGCACAUGUGUGUGUGCAUGUGUAUAUGCACAUGUGUGUAUGCACAUGUGUGUGCAUGUGUAUAUGUACAUGUGUAUGCCAAUGUGUGUGUGCAUGUGUAUAUGUACAUGUGUGUGUCAAUGUGUGUGUGCAUGUGUAUAUGCACAUGUGUGUAUGCACAUGUGUGUGUGCAUGUAUAUAUGAACAUGUGUGUGCCAAUGUGUGUGUGCAUGUGUAUAUGCACAUGUGUGUAUGCACAUGUGUGUGUGCAUGUGUAUAUGCACAUGUGUGUAUGCACAUGUGUGUGUGUGUAUGUGUAUAUGUACAUGGGUGUAUGCACAUGUGUGUGCAUGUGUAUAUGUACAUGUAUGUGUCAAUGUGUGUGUGCAUGUGUAUAUGCACAUGUGUGUGUGCAUGUAUAUAUGUACAUAUGUGUGCCCAUGUGUGUGUGCAUGUGGAAGUCAGAGGCUCAUGUCUCCUCAAUCUCUUUUCUCAUCCGCCCUCCCUUUUUUUGAGACAGGGUCUCUCAAUUAUGUAGCCCUGGCUGUCCCAGAAUUCUCUAAGUAAACCAUGAUGCCCUUGAACUCAUGGAGAUCCACCUGCCUCUGCCUUCCAAGUGCUAAGACUAAAGGUGUGCACUACCAAGCCGGGUCAUUUCUAGAGACAGGCUCUUUUACUAAACCUCAUGUGGUUAGGCUGACUGGCUGAGGAGUUCCAGGAAUCCUCCCAGUUCUACUCUACCCUCCAUACCCAGCAACAGUGCCUUGCUCUUUACUUGGGUGUUGGGGAUUCAAACUCAGGUCCACAUGCUUGUCCAGCAGGCACUCUGAGUUACCCCCCCCCCACCCCCAACUCACCACUUCCUUAAUCUUUCUAAAUCCAACUCAAUUCAUGGACUGGCAUAUGCCACCCAGGUCUAUGUUGGCAUGCCAAAAUGCAGAGGUGAUAAACUACAAAGAUAUUUCCUCAAAGAAGGCUUUGAAGCUGUAGAAAUGACUUGGUGGGUAAAGUGGCUGCCAAGCCUGACAACUUGAGUUUAUCCUGGGGACACAUGUGGGAAAAAGAGAACUGACUCCACAUGCUCACUGUCAUUGUGGCAUGUAUAUUCUCUCUCCCUCCCUCCCCCUCUCUUUCUGUCUCUCUCCCUCCCUCUCUCCGUCAGUCCUCCCUCCCUUUCUCUCCUACACACAAACACAAAUAAAUAACAAAAUGUUUUUAAAAAAGAAGCCAUGAAGUAGGGUGGUGGUGGUGCAUGCCUUUGAUCCCAGUACUCGGGAGGCAGAGGCAGGUGAACCUCUGAGUUUGGGGGGCCAGCCUGGUCUACAGAGUGAGUUCCAGGACAGUCAGAGCUACACAGAGAAACCAUGCCUCAAAACACCAACUUAAAAAAAAAAAAGCCAUGAAGAUUUAUAUUAUCCACUUUCUGACACAACAAAAGAUUUUUUCUUUUUUCCUUCCUUCCUUUCUUUUUUUAUGUUUUUGUGUUUUUAUUGGGGUUCAUCAUGGGUAGGAACUGUCACCUUAAAGUAUGCCCCUCCCACUAAGCAUGUCCACUCUACUCCUCCUCAGCUCCUUUCUGGGACUUUUUCUUUUUCUUUAUAUUCUUUGGGCAGCUAGCAGCAGCUUCAGGUUCCUCAGAAAAUGUCCUUUUCUUCUUGAGGAAACAAAGGAUUUUCUAAUCACCAGAUAAAAAUGCCUUAAGACAAGCCGGGUGAUGGUGCACACCUUUAAUCCCAGCACUUGGGAGGCAGAGGCAGGCGGAUCUCUGUGAGUGUACAGAGUGAAUUACAGGACAGCCAGGACUGUUUCACAGAAAAAUCGAAAAACCUCUGCUUUUGCAGAGGACCCGGAUUUGGUUCCCUAGCACCCCCAUGGCAGCUAGCAAUCAUGUGUAUCUAGAGUUUCAAGGGAUCCCAUGCCCUCUUCUGGCCUCCAUGGGCACCAGACAUGCAUAUGGUACACACACAUACAUGUAGGCAAAACACUCAUAAAAAAUAAAAACAUAAAAAUGAAUCUUAAAAACAAAACAAACAAAAACAGCUUAAGGGACAGGAAGGUAACUAACUCAUUGGGCAAAACUUUUCACCGUGCAGUCCUGACAACUUGAGUUUGAGCAUCAAGAUGCAUAUGAAAAGUCAGAUUCAGGGCCUGGAGUGAUGGCUCAGCAAUUAGGAGCACUGACUGCUCUUACAAGGACCUGGGUUUGGUUCCCAGAACCCAUGUGGUGGCUCACAACGAACUGUAACUUCAGUUCCAGAUGAUCCAACACCCUCCGAAGACUAUUGCAUGUGCCUGGGCACAUAUACAUAACAUGACAUGCUUUCUAAAAGUCAGAUGCUGUAGUGCAUAUUGGUAAUUUCAGCAUCCCAGCCGUGAGACAGGAAGUAGAAACAGGAGAAUCAGCUGGAAGCUUGCAGGCCAGCUACCUCAAAUAUACUACAUAGCAGGAGAGACCUUGCCUCACCAAGGCACAAAGUUCCCUUCUGGUUUCUAUAACCGUACUGUGACACUUAUGCCUGUACUAAUGCACACACUAAAUAAAGUAAUUGAUAAACCAUUAAAUAUGUACGUACAUGUGCCUGUAACUUGACUUAAGGAUGCUGUUGCCUUGGUGGCCCCAGCAGGUUUCUAUCCAUACAGGACUCCCAUAUUGUAUCCUUUGUGCCACCAGGGCCUUGGAGCCUCAGCACAAAUAAUAAGGAAUGUCCAUGAUUGCCCCCAGAGCAGGGGUUGCAGAAUAGUCUGCUAGAAAAGUAGCCUAGGGUCCUGGAGAUGGAGGAAGGUCCUUGUCACCAGAACAAAGAUAAGUGAGAUGUGUGUGGGAUUCGGAGCUCUUGAGGGUGGAAACUCCAGACCCCGAGGAUGAGACUCCAGAGACUGGGCAAGACUGGCCCUGGAGACCGGACAAGCUGUGCAGCAUUCAUUCAUUUUGGGGGAUCUGGGCUUUCCUGUGGCCAUGGAAAGUCUAGCAGUGGUUGGGAUGUGGGUCUGGCGCUCCUGAGGGAAGGUGGACCCAGGCAAGCAAUCAGACCCAGGACUUCGGUCAAGGUUUGUGGGGAAACUCGAUGAAGACAGGUUUCAGUGGAUUAAAACCACACCAAAGCAAUGCAUGCGAGUCCAGGGUAGGUGCCAGGAGAGGUGCAGGACAAAAAGCAACCUCAAAGCUCAUCUGGAAUGGAACUGUCCUUUCAAGGGCCACCUCCCAUCUGACUUCCUGUGUGGACCUGUGAGGGUCAUUCCUUGCCUCUGGCCUCCCCUUAGUGCUGUGGAGGGCUGUAACUGCACUCCGAUGAAUCUCCAAGAGUCAGACCCCUGGGGUGCAAGAGUAGAUCUUAAGUCCUAGCACCCCAGGCUAGGUCUGAUGGGUGAGCUUUCUGUCAAACUUCUUGGUUCUCUCUGUCCUCCUAUUCUCCAAGGCCAUAGAUAACAUUGUACCCCUGUGCAACAACUGGUCUGUGACAUAGCUGCUGGUCUCUAAAGCCCUGGGGCAUGCCCUGCUGAGACCCUACACCCAGGAGGUGUACAAAAAUCACAGGAUGCCAGUGACACUUGGGUACAGACAGUCACUGACACAGACAGAGCACAUACCCAGGGUCAGAUUCUAGGCAAAUGGGCUCAAAAGGGGGUCGGAGCCAAGCUCUGGGGACCACACUGUGGCAGCAGAGUCACUUGGAGAGGCGAGAGAGUGGGCGCCUGAGACACUAGGAGAGCGGAUGGCCUCUGACCAGAGUAUUUCUGGGCCUUCCCUGUAGGGCUCAUGGUCCGAGAAAAUCGAGUAUUGAGAGGGACCAGGAUUCUCCAGCAANNNNNNNNNNNNNNNNNNNNNNNGGUCAGUGGGAGGAAGCCACUAUGUGCCAAGUCCCCGAAACAGCUGGCCGAGCUGGACGGCUCCGUCCCCUGCCAGGCCCGGACAAGAAGAGUAAAGGUGCGCAGGGGUUCUAUUUCGCUGGCGCAGCCGGACUGGACUCCAGGUCGGAAGGUGCAGAAGGAACAACGG